UGGAAGAAAACCAGAUGAAGCAGUACAAGUGGGAGCAGGAGCAGAUUGCUUCCAUGAAAGAGUAUAUUGCUCGUUUCGGUCAUGGUUCUGCUAAGCUGGCCCGCCAAGCCCAGAGCAAGGAGAAAACCCUUGCUAAGAUGGAGCGUGGUGGGCUUACUGAAAAGGUGGUUAAGGACAAGGUACUAGUCUUCCGCUUCACAGAUGUGGGUAAACUUCCUCCACCAGUACUGCAGUUUGUGGAAGUCACCUUCGGGUACACCCCUGACAACCUCAUCUACAAGAACCUUGAUUUUGGGGUGGAUCU
rnacentral:lncRNA from 1 species